AUUGAACGCUGGCGGCAUGCUUUACACAUGCAAGUCGAACGGCAGCGCGGGGCAACCUGGCGGCGAGUGGCGAACGGGUGAGUAAUAUAUCGGAACGUACCCAAGAGUGGGGGAUAACGUAGCGAAAGUUACGCUAAUACCGCAUACGAUCUAUGGAUGAAAGCAGGGGAUCUUCGGACCAUGUGCUCCUGGAGCGGCCGAUAUCUGAUUAGCGAGUUGGUGAGGUAAAGGCUCACCAAGGGGACGAUCAGUAGCUGGUCUGAGAGGACGACCAGCCACACUUGGACUGGGACACGGUCCAGAGUCAUACGGGAGGCAGCAGUGGCGAAUGUUAGACAAUGGGCGAAAGCCUGCUCCAGCAGUGCCGCGUGAGUGGAGAAGGCGUUGGGGUUGGAAAGCUCUUUUGUCAGGGUAGAAACGGCUGGGGCUAAUAUCCUCGGCUAAUGACGGUACCUGAAGAAUAAGCACCGGCUAACUACGUGCCAGCCGCCGCCGUAACAC
rnacentral:rRNA from 1 species